GGCAAACAGAGGCUUUCCGGUAAAUAUGCACAAUUGGUUUCAAUUUGGCACAAUUCCUUGGAAACAUACUGAAAUUCCAUCAAUCAGAGUUAGUUUUAGUAGCAAUUAAAAUGGAUGAAAAACAAGGAGUGGAGGAGAGCCUGUCAUUAGAACAAUAACAACAGGACAAAACCAGCUUUGAUAUAAGAGGCUAUACAACGUUGACUAGUUCUUCCCCAUUAUCAAAAUUUUUAAGGUAAGACAGUUCUGUUCUGUAGAGAAGCUGUUGGCGACCAAAUGCAAAUUACUCGUGUGUGCGUUUAGUGCCACGCUCCAUAUGUACAAAUACAUCUACAGCUCUGUCUUCCACUUCCAUUGACUACUAGAAUAUAUCAAAAGGGCUGUUUAAAUCA
rnacentral:misc_RNA from 1 species